GUGUUUUUCUGUGUGUGUGUGUAAUAUACAGAAAACAAUCCUCUCUAUAAAAAAAGAGCAUGCAGGCAGUGUGGGAGUGCGCAACUAUUCUCCACAGGAUAAGGUGCUAAAUGAAAUGUAGACAUUGUGAAUGACGCUACAUAGGUGUGAAAGACAAAGUACUCUGGGAAGUAAUAGCGUUCUGGGCCAUGUUUCCAUUCAGGAUGCAGACAACAUUUUUUCACAUAGCAUGGCAUUACUCAGCCCUGGCAGAAAGAAGAUCAGUUGCCGCUAUGGGGCUUCGUGAACCGGUGAACGUAGGGCUCCAGGGAUGACAGAGUGGGGGAGGACUGGGGUUAAUGCGGCCUGCAGUCGGGGAUGUCUGGUGUGGAACAGAGAUGGGAGAGCAGAGGACAACUGUGUUCUCCCUGAGGUUAAUAUAGUAUUAUCAGCUGCACAACUGUCCUCUCAUAGCCGCAUCUAUUUCAACAACUGCUGGAGGAAAGAAGGGGGCAGGAGGCGGGGGGAUGAAGACAGAGAAAGAUAAGAGAAGAAGCGACAAGAGAGAGAAGAAGGGCAAAAAAGGAUGAGUGAGAAAAAAAACUUAGAAAACAAAGACAAAAUAGAUAUUCUCAAGAGUGGACAGGAAAGUUUGAAGGCCUUGAAAGUUGAUAACAGAUUUAAUUCUUCUCAUAUUAUUUAAUUUUAAUGGCAUAAAAAACACCAUAAAACCCCAAAACAAUAAAACGAAAACAAAACAAAAACACUAAGAUGUCAAAAAAUAGGAAAUCAAAUCUAAUCAUUCUCAACGGGGGACAUGUAAUAUGCAGGAGCUCCUAUGCCUGAAUAUGUUUUAUAACUUAAAAGCAAUAAAAGGUAAUUCCAUACUUUAUUGACUUGAGUAUACUCCCAGUGUUUGUUCCCUGCCUUUAGAUGAAAUCACAAAGACUCCUGCUCUUUCUUUAAGUUUGUCAAGGAUCACAAUGGAGUAUGAUUGAUGCUAGUCGUCGCUUGUGGCCCCAUUUUUCUGCUCUAAAUAAACUGAAG
ensembl:lncRNA